rnacentral:rRNA from 1 species
UACGAAGGGGGCUAGCGUUGUUCGGAUUUACUGGGCGUAAAGCGCACGUAGGCGGUUUGUUAAGUCAGGGGUGAAAUCCCGGAGCUCAACUCCGGAACUGCCUUUGAUACUGGCAAUCUUGAGGCUGGAAGAGGUUAGUGGAAUUCCCAGUGUAGAGGUGAAAUACGUAGAGAUUGGGAAGAACACCAGUGGCGAAGGCGGCUAUCUGGACGGUUUCUGACGCUAAGACGCGAAAGCGUGGGGAGCAAACAGG